rnacentral:misc_RNA from 1 species
UUUCCGUAGGUGAACCUGCGGAAGGAUCAUUAAUAAUUUGCCGAACCUAGCGUUAGCGAGGUUCUGCGAUCACUUAUAUUUAAAACCCAACUCUUAAAUGUAUAAUGUAUUUUUUUAAUGAUAAAAAAUUAAAAGAUCACUUUCAACAACGGAUCUCUUGGCUCUC